CUGAAAUAAAUCAACUUUUUGAUGAUAUUCUAAUUAUAUGACCAGCACGUGUGUGUGUAUAUAUAUAUGACAAACCACUAAAGAUAAUAUCAGCCCUGAUGAUUUAUGGACAAGCCUUUACAACAGGUCAUGCUUUAGUGGGUGGGUAAGAAUUUACAUCCACCUCCUCCAUGGGUAAUUUGCUGUGCACAUUACAGGCUUUGAAGUAUGAAGAGCACCAAACCACAGGCUCACUUUUACGCCUCGCCAGCCAGACAAGGACGCUGCGAUCCCAGUCUCCUACAGGGUGAAGCACAAAAACACAGAUGCAUCAAUUCUUAGGCAAAACAAGGAGUUUAUGCGUGCGUGUUUGUGUGUGCAUCCAGAAACAGCAAAACUGAGCUAGCCAGAAGCAGCAGAGGUUGAAGCAGACAGUGCAAACAAUUCCCAGCAUUCCUCAGAGGAGCAGAAUAAACUGACCCUGGCCUUCUUCUGCCACACAGGCUGAGACACUGAUGGAAUAGUGUUGUGACUACCGCCAACGAAAGAGCCUAAAUUUGUUUUGGUCUGUUUUAGUUUUGUAUUACAACCUUAAAAUUGCUUAAAAGAAAUUAAACCCAGACUGUAUUUAAUUACCCCUGGCAUUAAAGUUUAGGGCUCAUUGACUGUCUUACAAAUAUAUAUAAUUCUUGUAUUCUUACUUAUCAAACUAGUUUAUUUCCUUUGGCUAAUUUUGCACAUGUGGAGGCCCUGGAAGCUCUUUUAAGCUCUGAAAAAGGCAUGUUGAAAUGUCAGUUUAUGAAAUAAAGUGCAUAUCUGUUAUUUUAAAGUG